UUUUUUUCUUGAUGCACAUUCUAGGUCUCAGAAGAUUUUCCUGAAAGAAAAGAUUUAAUGUCAAUUCAUUCUUCCUAAAUUCUUGGCCAUUUAUGUUGGACUCAAACAGGAACACUAAAGUGGGCCUGUUAGGAAACUCAAGAUUCAAAGGGAUAUAUAAAUAUUCCCUAUGCAAAGGAAGUCACAAAGCAGACUAUAUCUAGAAUAUUUUCAAAACCUGCAGCCCACAAUCUUUGUUACUGCAAUAUUUUGGUUCUGCUUCAAACAAUUUCUUCCACCUUGUAUAAUUAUGGCACUGGAUAAAUGUUCAACACUCAAACAGUUACUGCUUUUCAGCUCCAGCAUGGCUGUGUUUCAAAACUGAGGGAAGCAUGUGCCUCCUAGAUGAAAGGUGUAGUAUAAAUGCAACUCAUUACCAUUUUAGGCAGAAUUCCCAGGCUGGCAUUUAGCAAUUAAAAAAGCAAAGCUAAACAAGCCCAGGAGAUCAACAAUCCAUUUUUUUUCAACCCAAGAUGCUCAGUUAUUAUGGACAAAUCACUAGAAGACUCUAUUGUCCUUUGCUGACUCUCUUUGGAGCCUCUAAGGCAGCACAGAAUAAGCAAUAAUAGAAUGGAAAUACGCAUUAAUCUAAAGGAAUUGAGUGUAUGGUUACUUUUGUCUGCGUACAGACCUGGAGUCCAGCAGGCCUCUGGCUUCAACCCUGAUCAUCAUUGUGAGUUUCUAUUCCAUUUGUGGUGCAAUGGACUAUAUAUCUUAUUUUGGGGCCUGGGUAUGUCUUUAAUUUUAAAUAUUUUAUUUUUCAUUUUUAUUUUGGUGCAGUACAAUAAGCUCAAAAUACAAACUCACAGAACUGUGUUUAUUUGGAAUCUGCUCUUUUUCCCCAAGAUAUUGAUGAAAAAUUGUUUCAUUCUCGUUACACAGCAGAAAAAGUACUGAAAGAAAAAUCCACCAAAAAGUGGCUGAAACUCUCUCUACUUUGUUCCUAAACUUUCUUGUUUGUGAUAUAGAUAUGCUAAGUCCUGUCCUCAACUCCAUUUAAAUUUACCUUUUGGUGUAAGAAUUAGAGAAACAGCAGAAAAAGUACUGAAAGAAAAAUCCACCAAAAAGUGGCUGAAACUCUCUCUACUUUGUUCCUAAACUUUCUUGUUUGUGAUAUAGGAUACUGUCUAUAGUCUACUGUCCUCAACUCCAGUAUUGUAAUGUGGUUCUCUUUUUCUCAGAUAAUCUGGAGAUGAAGGGAAAGAAACACCUCAUUUUUAUUAUUCUCUUUCUUAGUAAACUCUUACCUUCUCAUUAAAGCUCCAAUAAACAUGACAACACCUGUAUCAGGCCACCUGCUUCUGUUCGUGUGACACAGUCAAUUCCUCUUAGUAGUGACACUGCAAUUACUAAAAAGCAUCUGAAAUUAUGAGGGAUUCUUCAUCUGGUUUCUUUUGGAAAUGGAUUUGCUUGCAUUGGUAGAAUUUAGGCCUUGAUACUUGAAUUUCUAAUUAUUUAAGAAAAAAGCUUAGAUGAAAGGGAACAAAAAAUCUUCAUUGAAACACAGAACUGUUUAGCAAUGAUUAAUUAGUGAUUUUCUGUGAUGAUCUAGCUAUUUAGCUGUUCUCUUUUUUGAUAAUUUCUAAGAACCUGGAUUCUGGAGCUAAACUUUCUAAGUUCAAAUGGUCCUUCCACUUAUUAGCUGUGAGGCCUCAAACAAUGUACUUAACCCCUCUGUACCUUGCUUUUCUCAUCCAUAAAAUGGGGCUUGAGAUUUUAACUACUUCAUAUGGAUAUUGUAUGUAUUUAACAAAUUCAUACAUGCAAAACACUUUAAACUGUGCCUAGAGCAUAGUUAAUGCUUAGUAAAUAAUGCUAAAUUAUUUUUUAUCAUCUAGUAUGUGGAAGGCUUUAUUCUAGGCACUAGGGAUACAUUGGUGAUCAUGACAGAAAAGCUCUCUAUUAUCAAAGAGCUUUAGCGGGGAAAAACAUAGUAAAUAAGUAAAACAAAUAAUUAAGAUAAUUUUAAGUAUAAUAAGUGCCAUGAAGAAAAUAAAAAAGUUCAUAAUUCCUAACACUGGAAUUGAAAUUGUUAACCAAACACUUAUUUUGUGGUUGAGCAAAAUAUGUUGGCCCAGUGAUAGAUAGUAUCACAAAUUCUCAGGAUUGUACAGUUUGACCUCGGACCAUAUAAAAUACAUGAAUGAUGGGUCUAGAACAUAAGCCUAAUUCUGUGUGUGCCAGACACUUACAUUGGAGGAUUAUGUCUUCAUCUCUAGUCAAUCCUCUUGCCAUUGGCCACUCUCCCUGCAAGGAUUUUUGCUUAGGCUGCUUAAAUGGGAUCACUUGCUUCCAAAUUCUUCAUUGCAAUGGGUUGCAGUCUAGAUGAGGGCUGAAUCAAUAACAUUUUGUUUAUCUUGUGCUUUAUCUUCUAUUUUACUUGAUUCCAAUGGCUGUAUAUCAUAACUGAUUAGUCCACAUAUAGGAGUAACAGAAAUUGAAUUACUGCAGAAAUCCAUUAAGCAUAUAAAAAAUCUGUAGCAAAUAAAUGAUGGGACAGUUUAUUUUGCCUGUUGUUCAUUAGGUUGGACUCAUUAGGUUUAAUUAGGUAGAAUCACAAGGCCAAAAAUGAUAAUACUUCUGAAUCUACAGUUUAUUGCCAGAAAAGGACACACAAUGGCAACAUCAUAAUAUAUUAGAACAUUGGUAAGCAAUAAGGAUAUUCAUUGCAGCCAGAGGCUACAUCAUAGCAGAGUCUGGAGAAGCCAGUAGUAGUAGGUUUCUGUCAUCCUCUUACUGCAGGGCCAUAUUGGAUGCUCUUUCCCUUUCAGAUUAGAAACAACUAAUGUGUGCAUGGAACACUACAGGACCAGAAAGCCCAAGCUUGAGUUUCAGAUAGG
ensembl:lncRNA